UGAAUUUAAAUUUUAAAUUCAAAUUUAGAUUUGAAAUUGACUUAGAAUUUUAAAUUCAGAAUAUGAGUUUGUAUUUAAAAUUUAAAUUCAGAUAAUGAAUUUGAUUUUAAAGUCAAAUUCUAAAUUUUAAUUUUCAAUUCGAAUUAUUAGUGUGUUUGUCACGCCCCGGAUUACCAUAUUUUUUCGGGCACGCCAACAGACUAGCUGUAUAUCUAUAAAUUUUUCGUGUAUACGAAGCGAUAGUUGUACCUGUAAUCACAACAUAACUACAACCAGUAGUAUAGAACUGCUAAAUUAAAAUAAAAAAAUAUAUAUAAAAUCUCGAGGGGUUCCUGUACAUACAAAAUGUCCACAACACAACUCGCUCCAUCGAGUACCCCGAUAACAUAACCAUAUGUACAAGAAAAUUCUAUAUCUACCUGUGGAAGAUACUUCUCUAACACGACAACAAGACUGGUAGGGAUCUAGCUCGCGACUCCCUUCCCACGGUCCAAAUCAGCAACAGCAGCAGUCGCAGACGAAGACUCUGUAAAAGGUGUGAACAACUGGGUGUGAGAACUACUAUAAAACAAGUAGUCCUCAGUAGGUACCGCCACCGACCUCAACGGUCCACCCACUAAGUCUACAUAAAUGUGUGUAAAGGAUAGUAAGGAAAGCUGGAAAGAAAUUUACAGCUACAUGCCACUCUACUAUCGCUAACCACUGCCGGCUAUCUGUAGAUAUAAAUAUAUAUCUCAUUGACCCAAUCUCAUUAGGGACUGUGAUAUACCCGUCCCGCCUGUCUAAGCUACACCGUACACUACCGCGAGGGCGGCCGGUGGAGAGCAAGGUCCAAACCGGACUACUACGACAUCAACGCAAAACAAGAUAGCCCAACUCUGGAGCGGCACUCGUGGGCGCGACCCAACUGAGUAUGCAAGCGUGUCUCUGCCGAGCUCAAUCAGGCUCUCACAGGCUGUAAUCAAUGCAAAAGGGUCUAACUGGUCUAACAACCAAAGCUCACGUGCUCUUGGCACAAUCUCAUGCAAGAUACAGAAAUCUGGUUCCAUCGUCAAUUGCGACGAUACCCGACAGUACGAAACAGUCUACACAUAACUGUAAAACGAGCUCGGCCUCCCAGCACGAGCGUAAACUCCACCUACACUAAUCUGGGUAUCCACCUCGCACGAACAGCGGCGAUACAAAAUAAUAACAGCUCUUAAAGCUAAAUCUGGUAACUUUUCAGAAUGACAGUGUAGGGUUUAUUGGUUUU
rnacentral:lncRNA from 1 species